rnacentral:rRNA from 1 species
UGGGGAAUAUUGCGCAAUGGGGGAAACCCUGACGCAGCAACGCCGCGUGAGUGAGGAAGGCCUUCGGGUUGUAAAGCUCUGUCAGAAGGGAAGAACGGUAUUUGGUCUAAUAGGCCUUGUAUUUGACGGUACCUUCAAAGGAAGCACCGGCUAACUUCGUGCCAGCAGCCGCGGUAAUACGAAGGGUGCAAGCGUUAUUCGGAUUUACUGGGCGUAAAGCGCGCGCAGGCGGAUGGAUAAGUCAGAUGUGAAAUCUCGGGGCUCAACCCCGAAACUGCGUCUGAAACUGUUCAUCUAGAGUCUUGGAGGGGGAAGUGGAAUUUCGCAUGUAGGGGUAAAAUCCGUAGAGAUGCGAAGGAACACCAGAGGCGAAGGCGACUUCCUGGCCAAGUACUGACGCUGAGGCGCGAAAGCGUGGGGAGCAAACAGGAUUAGAUACCCCUGUAGUCC